UAGGAAUAAUGACUAAAUGUCAGAUUUUAGAGGUUUUAUUUAUUUAGUUUUUUUUAUUUGAAUAAUAUUGGUUUUUUUCUGUAAUCUAAUCUAAAGAAGAUGAGGAAUGAUGAUGACUGUGGGACCAUGCGAUCAUGUACUGUUCCGGCAUUUCCAUUUUCCCAUCUACAACGUUGUGCUGUGUGCAGAGUGCAGAGUGAUAUCGUGUUAUCAUGACAUCCAUCAUCAACAUAGGAUCCUCAACGUUCGAACAAGCAAAACAAUGGUUCAUCGAGUCGACAUCGUUUCGUGAUAAACUAAGAUUCCGAGACUCGAAUUUCAAAUGCACCGACAACACAGAUCUCUUGGAAUUGCUCAAUUUUGAGGAAUGAAGGUUUGAGGUAUGAGGAGGCAUUGGAACAUUGACAGCAUAAGUCAAGGAGAAGCAAAUUUAGAGUACAUCCAAACGAUUUUUCCCAUAUCUCAUCCAGUUUCCAAGACAAAAAAACAGUGCUAGUAUUUUACAGUUGCACAACAAUUGAUGUGCUAAAUAAAUAUUAGUCUCUAUUCUUAAUCAACAAAAAAUGGAGCAUGUGGACAUUUUUCAACCGGGUAAGUUUAGGAAGACAGUGCAUCAGCAAGAAGAGAAUCUGAAGUGAAUUAGUUGCAUUCAACAUUUCCAUGAGACUUCAUGAGAGCUAAAUAUCAAGAUCAUAUUCAAAGAUGAUUAUCUCCACUAUCCCCUGUCCAGCAAUUGUCCAUGCAAGAAUGGUUGUUCUCCAUCUGUAAUAUGGAAACACAGUAAAAAGUUAAAACCAUGUCCUUAUUUGUGAAAAACCUACACAUAGCAUAUAGGAGAAUGAAUUUACAUUUCGUUUAA